rnacentral:rRNA from 1 species
UACGAACUGUGCAAACGUUAUUCGGAAUCACUGGGCUUACAGGGUGCGUAGGCGGCUUGCUAAGUAGGGUGUGAAAGCCCCCGGCUUAACCGGGGAACUGCGCCUUAAACUGGCGAGCUAGAGUGAGAUAGGGGUGUGCGGAACUUCCGGUGGAGCGGUGAAAUGUGUUGAUAUCGGAAGGAACGCCGGUGGCGAAAGCGGCACACUGGAUCUCAACUGACGCUGAGGCACGAAAGCCAGGGUAGCGAACGGG